rnacentral:lncRNA from 1 species
CCUGCCCCGGCGGGGGGUCAGGAUCCUCCACAGGUAGGCGCAGUCAGCUGGAGCGUCGCGGCGGUCCGCCGGUCGUGGAGGGCGUGUCCUGCGGCGCGAUGGCCGUAGUGUUGCCGGCGGUUGUGGAGGAGCUCCUGAGCGAGAUGGCGGCGGCGGUGCAGGAGAGCGCGCGAAUUCCUGAUGAAUAUCUGUUAUCGUAAGCUGAAGUUUCUCUUUGGCUCAUCAGCCACCCAGGCCUUGGACCUAGUUGAUCGACAGUCCAUCACCUUAAUCUCAUCACCCAGUGGAAGGCGUGUUUACCAGGUCCUUGGAAGUUCCAGUAAAACAUACACAUGUUUGGCUUCUUGUCAUUACUGUUCAUGUCCUGCAUUUGCAUUCUCAGUGCUACGGAAGAGUGACAGCAUCCUGUGCAAGCAUCUCUUGGCAGUUUACCUGAGUCAGGUUAUGAGGACCUGUCAGCAGCUAAGUGUCUCUGACAAGCAGUUGACUGACAUAUUAUUGAUGGAGAAGAAACAAGAAGCAUAAAAGGACUGCAGGAGGUGCUGUGGGUUGGAGCCGUGGGCUGUGGAGGGUUUGUGUAUGAUGAGAAGCCCUGUACAGUCUUGUCAAGAAAUACCCUGAGCCAGUCUCUGAGACGCUUCGGUAAAAAAUGUCCCUGGAUGGAAUCAAGAUUUUAAAUUCAAAUAAAGCCUAAUAUCAUGUUGUGUCCAC